GAUGAACGCUGGCGGCGUGCUUAACACAUGCAAGUCGAACGGAAAGGCCAGUGCUUGCACUGGUACUCGAGUGGCGAACGGGUGAGUAACACGUGGGUGAUCUGCCCUGCACUUCGGGAUAAGCCUGGGAAACUGGGUCUAAUACCGGAUAGGACAAUGGUUUGGAUGCCGUUGUGGAAAGUUUUUUCGGUGUGGGAUGAGCUCGCGGCCUAUCAGCUUGUUGGUGGGGUAAUGGCCUACCAAGGCGUCGACGGGUAGCCGGCCUGAGAGGGUGUACGGCCACAUUGGGACUGAGAUACGGCCCAGACUCCUACGGGAGGCAGCAAUGGGGAAUAUUGCACAAUGGGCGCAAGCCUGAUGCAGCGACGCCGCGUGGGGGAUGACGGCCUUCGGGUUGUAAACUCCUGUCGCUAGGGACGAAGCGUAUUUGUGACGGUACCUGGAGAAGAAGCACCGGCUAACUACGUG
rnacentral:rRNA from 1 species